rnacentral:rRNA from 1 species
CACAAAUAUGAAGGCGGGCUGGAACCUCUCGGGGUUACAGCCUUGCUGAAUUAUUCACCCUUGUCUUUUGCGUACUUCUUGUUUCCUUGGUGGGUUCGCCCACCACUAGGACAAACAUAAACCUUUUGUAAUUGCAAUCAGCGUCAGUAACAAAUUAAUAAUUACAACUUUCAACAACGGAUCUCUUGGUUCUGGCAUCGAUGAAGAACGCAGCGAAAUGCGAUAAGUAGUGUGAAUUGCAGAAUUCAGUGAAUCAUCGAAUCUUUGAACGCACAUUGCGCCCUUUGGUAUUCCAAAGGGCAUGCCUGUUCGAGCGUCAUUUGUACCCUCAAGCUUUGCUUGGUGUUGGGCGUCUUGUCUCUAGCUUUGCUGGAGACUCGCCUUAAAGUAAUUGGCAGCCGGCCUACUGGUUUCGGAGCGCAGCACAAGUCGCACUCUCUAUCAGCAAAGGUCUAGCAUCCAUUAAGCCUUUUUUUCAACUUUUGACCUCGGAUCAGGUAGGGAUACCCGCUGAACUUAAGCAU